AACUGACUUGUGGCAGCCAAGCGUUCAUAGCGACGUUGCUUUUUGAUCCUUCGAUGUCGGCUCUUUCAAUAGAAUUUGGGAGCGCGUUGCGAUGCUU
rnacentral:ncRNA from 1 species